rnacentral:misc_RNA from 1 species
GAUGAAGAACGUAGCGAAAUGCGAUAAGUAAUGCGAAUUGCAGAAUUCAGUGAGUCAUCGAAUCUUUGAACGCACAUUGCGCCCGUCAGUAUUCUGGCGGGCAUGCCUGUUCGAGCGUCAUUACGCCCCUCAAGUCCCCUGUGGACUUGGUGUUGGGGAUCGGCGAGGCUGGUUUUCCAGCACAGCCGUCCCUUAAAUUAAUUGGCGGUCUCGCCGUGGCCCUCCUCUGCGCAGUAGUAAAACACUCGCAACAGGAGCCCGGCGCGGUCCACUGCCGUAAAACCCCCCAACUUUUUAUAGUUGACCUCGAAUCAGGUAGGACUACCCGCUGAACUUAAGCAUAUCAAUAAGCGGAGGA